UCCUUCCUUUACCUUCUCCUCACCAUCGACGACCUCCUCCCCUCCCCCUCGCCCCAAAUCGAGCAGCAGGCCUGGAUCCAACGCAGGCUCAGAUCCGGCCCCUGCCCCUCAGUCCUCACCACGCCUCUCUCGCCUUCUUCCCUCUUGGCUCGUCGUUCCGGUGGUGGCGGCUCGUUGAUGAGCACGGCGGCGAGGUGGAGGAAAACGAGUAGCGGCAUGGAUCUGGUCACGGUGGAGUCGGAGCACAAAACCCGACGGCCCGCUCUCAACUGCGACUUUACAUGGUUCCUAGCCGCCGUCUCCUGGAGCUGCUCCGCACAUCUCUGCCCGCCCAACAGCCCCUCCACGCCGGCUGUCCGGAGCUGCACCGCACACUGCAGCAAGAUGAUGCUGAUUCAUGAAGUACGUUACAACAAAUUGCAAUCAUGUGUAUUCUGAUUUUUGGCCACGCCGUGUCACGUCGAGGCACAUCUGCAGAAAUUGAAGGACAUGGGUGGCAUGUGCUCCAUUAAGCAGAGCACUUUUAAGUUACUUUCUACAGGAUGAUCAUUCCCAAUAUUUAGUCUUCGCUGCUCUGUUCCAAUGAAGAACGAAUCGGUUUGCUUGGCAUCAGUGAAAAAAAAUCAUUGCUUAGCUCAAGUUUAAAUAUGUUCCUUAAUAGCUGGAGUGCCCUUCGUCAGCGAGGAGGCCCAGGGUGACACCGCUGCCGGCGCCGGUGCUCCCCAAUGUAGCCACUCCGAUGACAGCCAGGAUUGUUGCUGUGUGUCUCCAGUUCCUUGAAGUCAUGUACAUGCACAUGCCCGCGUCUGAUUUGUUCUCGUGGUCGCGUUCCUGCCGUAGCUACAUCCACGACUGUGCAGGUUUAGCCGUCCUUUCUUUAAUCCCCUUUUUUGUUUACCCUCAUUUCUCUUGUAUUGUUCCUGAGAGAGCCUAGGCCUGAUGUCCUCUUUCCAGGUGAGGCGUUUGUUGCCUUGCUUAAUUUUGUUUAUUAGAUAUUACCUGCCUAUGCUUCAUCCUAUUUUUGCAAUGAGAUCUAUUGUUUACAUAUGUGCUAAUUUCUAUGACUAAGGAGACUGUCAGUUCUGCCAAUGACGCUAAAUACUUACAGUUAGGAAAUAACAGUCCCCGUAUCGGAAGGCAUGUUUAUUUUGUCUUGAAUUGAAAGAAUUACUAAAUAAGAAGGCUAGCUUAGGUUCUAAUAAUUGUUCAAACAUACUAUAUACUCCUAACAGAAAUGUAAAACAAAGACAUGGACAAAUUAUUUCUGCUAUGUGAUGAGAAGAACUAUUUUAAUAGAUAUGGAAAUGCUUUUUUAAAUUAUAUGUCUACUCUGCCAUGCUUGCCAAUAUCCACUUCUGCUGCAAGUGCUUCUAUAAUUGCAACUUCUGGAAGUGUGUGGUUUGAAGAUAUGAGAUGUGAUUCAGUUACAUAAAUGUUUGAACGGGAACUUAUGAAUUAGAAGGGAAUAACUGCCUUGCCUUACAAAAGUUCGUGUAAGGGAAAGGAUUGCCUCAGCUAACACUAUAUUUAUAGGAAAGAUACAUGCAAAUUCAAGAGCGUAAUAAGAUAAUUAUUUUUUCCUUCCAGAACAAAGGCCUGUUUGUGCCAGGGACUAACAUAUUUCAUAGUAGACAUGAUUUAUACCUUUUAGGACCAGUACAAUUUUCAUACAAUCAUGAAUCAUGGUUUUAUCUUUUGAAGUCGAUACAUUUUAAUUUAUUGUUUUAUUCCCCUGAAUGUUUACCUAAGCACAUAGCUGCUAUUCACUGUAUCUUUUGUCAGAUGGCUUCUAUCACCCUUGCUAAUCUAUGUUGCGGAAGACAAAAUCAAAUGCUAUGUGUCCGGGUGUCUUGGCUAAGGCAUUUUCGCAGCGAUAUAGAGAGCGGUCCUAUCAAGCUCAUACACAUGUUCAUCAUCGACGUGCAGGGUAGCUAGAGUUAUGCAGUUGUACCAACAUCAUUUGCUGGUGCUUAUCUACACAUCUUACAAGAGGGGAUUAUCUAUAAGCUUGGCUACUUGAUGGUCUUGCCACUGCUAAACAUACUGAAUCCUGCUGCAGCUCCACGUAUGAGUUUAUCUCAGGUACCACUGAAAUUUAACUAAUAAUAUGUAGCAUCUUGCCACCAAACAGAUUCAUAUGUGGUCACUAAAUUCAAUGUCUAUAAACUUUUCUGUACUCAUAUACAGUUAGCAUAUUGAUUGCAUUCUCUACUCUCAUAUGGUAUUGUAUCUUCAACUACUUGCAGAAAUAUAUUUUCUAACUUGGUUUAGUUUUAUUAAUGUCUCACCAAGGGUGAUGGAUGCUUGCCGAAAGGGCAUUAUCUAUACUUUUCAUAGUGCAAAACGACAUGUCAUGGCAAGAUUGAUUGUUUGGUAGAAUGAUUACUCCUGCAUUAUAGCGCUACCUAUGAAAAUUGAAAGGAAGAGUUGUGGUGGUAUCACGUGGAUGAUUUUUUGAUUAUUAGUUUGCUUCUCAAUGAUUUUUUCAAUAUUGGAGGGUCAUCUGCUGAGACUUGGUUUGUGCCACGACAUUCUUUUGAAUUGCUAAUACCCUUUUGUUUGUGAUAUUUCUUUACAUUUGCUAUGGAAAAAGACGCUACAUAUUAUUAGUUAAAUUUCAUUUGUACCUGAGAUAAACUGAUCGCGUUGUAUCUCGUAUGUCCUGUUGAAUAGAAGGAAUCAAGGAAAUGAUGGCGUUAGUCUUGAUAUGGGGAAGCGUUAAGUUCACGCAUAGGACAUAUGCCACUGAUACCAGUACAACACAGUUUUUGUGUGUUGCAAGGUAGCCUUUCUUUUUUAUUUGCUGGUUCCUCAGAUCACUACCUUUUCUUCUUUAGAACUUACUCCAAGUGACAUGUACUGAUAAGCAUAUUCCUCAUAUCACUACCUUUCCUUUAGAACACACACAACAUAUCCAGACAAACUCAGGUACCACCCUCUCAUACACAUGGUGCUACCCUCUAUCUCUAACAGUAUGCACACAUAGGAACCAUUGCAUAACUUUGAUUCUCACUUUAGCUCCUAAAAGUGUUCCAUUUCAAUGUGCUGAUGAACCUUCUCUUGGUUGCACUACAAACUACGGAAAUGAUGCAUGGGAGACAUGGCAUGAUCAUUAGAUCAACCUAUGACUUUAUAAGUGAUACUAUAUUAAUUUAUUUUUUAAUAGCACUGGAAUCUCUUUGCUCUUUUCUUCUAGUUUACAAGGAUCUUAAGGCUAAUUCAUUGUGUGAUUUGUCCAUAAUGGUUAUUCUUGAACAAGAAUCUUAAGAUAAUCCAUCCUUCUUCAAGAAGACUCUGUAUGUACUAUGUAGGUUAGUCAUCAUUUGUACAAACAAUUUUUGCACCAACGUUUCAUCCAUGUAAUGACACGUAUUUUCAGCAUGACAUGGAUAAACAAAAUUGAUAUUUGAUAUGGGACGCAUGGUUGUAUAAUAUUUUCCUGCAUGUCUUCUCCUGUAGCCACCUACCAACCAUACCUAUCACUAUUGCGACUUAUAUUCUCUUUGCCUGUUCAAUUUCUUUCUCAUUGCUCUUCAGUUGAUCAAUUCCAACAUGGUACCCCAUGCCCACGAUACACUCAUCGUCACUGCUCCGAUCCGCCCGACCCCAGUGACUCAGCUACUUCCUAUCAUCACCUGGUACUUCUCUUUGCUUGAUGCUCCUGCGCUGCUUGUUGUGCUCGCCGUUUCUGCUAUAUCUAAUUUCAGGCAUUAUGGUUCAGUGGGUGACUAGAAGACCUGGUAGAUUUUAGUAAAAUGACCUAUAUAUUGGUUUCAAAACAUAGCGAGACUAAGUCCUGAUAUACUUGGCUACUUUUUUCUUUUUGCAUCAGUUCUGAGUGGUAUAUGGAAUAUGGGGUUUGCAGAGUUAAGUAGUGAGACAUCAUUUUAUGUGGUAAUUGUACCCUGGUGCAAUAGUUGUUUUGAUCCAAUUCCAGUAUUAUGUUAGCUUACGUUAAUGAUAUGGGAACUCUGAAGAAAAUUCUAUAUGGCCGAUCCAUAUUCAUGAGUUGUGCAUGUGCGAUAUGGCUGGUUGUUUAUGCAUUCUUGCUCUUUAGACCUUUGUUGGGCGACAAUACCAUUUGGUACAGAACAUGCUGCUUCCGAUUUCUUUGCACUUCAAUCUCAAAAUUUUCUUGAUGUUUUUUAUGUUAUUUUCAGGAGCAAUUUAAGAUCGAAAAGGAUGAUGGGAGGAUGCAACUGACACAGUAGCAUGCUCCGUGUCAAAUGGCAUAUUUAUCUUUCUUUUUACCUAGAUGAGAAACAGUAACAUGUGAAACAUAACGCAACAUACUCUGUUGCCUGGAGUGAGAGUCUAGAUAUAGAGGGCAUUGCCCAUAAAUCUUCAUUGUACUAGCUUGUCACUUCUAUAAACUAUCACUAAAUUUAGUAUGCAUGUUAUUUCUUCU